rnacentral:rRNA from 1 species
AUUGAACGCUGGCGGCAGGCCUAACACAUGCAAGUCGAACGAGUGGCGGACGGGUGAGAAAUGUCUGGGAAACUGCCCGAUGGAGAGGGAUAACUACUGGAAACGGUAGCUAAUACCGCAUACCAUCGGAUGUGCCACGAUGGGAUUAGCUAGUAGGUGGGGUAACGGCGCACCUAGGCUACGAUCCCUAGCUGGUGUGAGAGGAUGACCAGCCACACUGGAACUGAGACACGGUCCAGACUCCUACGGGCGGCAGCAGUGGGGAAUAUUGCACAAUGGGCGCAAGCCUGAUGCAGCCAUGCCGCGUGUAUGAAGAAGGCCUUCGGGUUGUAAAGUACUUUCAGCGAGGAGGCGUUACUCGCAGAAGAAGCACCGGCUAACUCCGUGCCAGCAGCCGCGGUAAUUC